rnacentral:lncRNA from 1 species
GUGGAGUGGGGUGGAGUGGAGUGGUGGAAAUUUUGGUUGCAUGGAAGUACAAGGUGAACAUUCCGUGCCCCACAGCAACGACGGUGGAUGCAGUGGGCCAUCACGGGUUUAGGUGCCCGUUGGGGAAGUGAGAGAGAGAGUCGCACUCAUACCGUGGGGAGGGGAAAGGGGAGAUGACAUGGCCUUGCGCCUGACGAAUGGAAAAUUUGGAAUGAGAUACGGGGCAACAGAGGGAGAGAGCGACAGAGAAUGGUGGGCGCCCCGCCGUCGCCGAAAUUUGCGAGAGCCGCCACGAGGAAUCGUCAUCGUCCCAGGAACACGAGACGAGAAAGGAGGGAGAAAGAAGCGAAGUAAGCGAACGGAGGAGAAAGGAGGGCGUGG